ensembl:snRNA U6 U6 spliceosomal RNA
GUGCUCAUUUUGGCAACACAUAACAUAGAUUAUGAACAUAACAAAGAUUAGCAUGGCCCCUGUCCAAAGAUGACAUGUAAUUUGUGAAGUAUCCCAUAUUAAA